rnacentral:rRNA from 1 species
AAGAGACAGCAGCCGCCGCGGUAAUACGAAGGGUGCAAGCGUUAAUCGGAAUUACUGGGCGUAAAGCGUGCGUAGGCGGUGAGUUAAGUCUGCUGUGAAAUCCCCGGGCUCAACCUGGGAAUGGCAGUGGAUACUGGCUCGCUAGAGUGUGUCAGAGGAUGGUGGAAUUCCCGGUGUAGCGGUGAAAUGCGUAGAGAUCGGGAGGAACAUCAGUGGCGAAGGCGGCCAUCUGGGACAACACUGACGCUGAGGCACGAAAGCGUGGGGAGCAAACAGGAUUAGAUACCCCGGUAGUCCCUGUCUCUUAUAA